AGAAUUUAAUAAUCAUAAGAUUUAAUGUGUCGUCUCUUAUUUUUAUUAUUGAAGAAAAAAAAAGUGCUAAUGAUUUUAUAACGAGUCCGUUGAAGAGUAUGUACAAUUUAUUGAAUGCAUUGAGAUUCAAAGGCAAGAUAUAAAAUCAGUGGAUGUACUACUAUUGGCUCAUCUUAUCUCAAUAACCAAUCGACAGUUCGUGCGUUAUCAGUCCGAAGGAUUGGAACAACAGAGGAAUAUAUAAAUACGUGGGUACCGUAAAAAUUAAGCCAUAUACUUCAACCGCCUUCAAUUGUAUCUGCAUUACUUGCUCAGAUUCAUCUAAAAUGUUGAGAGCCCUUCUUAUCUUCGCCAUAAUCGCAAUAUUUGGCUUUGUUGCAACAGAAGCUUCGUGCAUUUCAAUGGGAAGACCUGGUCAGUGGGGGGAAUGCUGUCGAAAUUAUUACGUGGAUGAGAAUGGCUUCUGUCAGCACGUGUAAAACUAUAAGGAAUUGUAAACUAUCACAAUGAUAUAUUAUUAGCAAUUCUACAAAUAAAAAUAUUUUCAUUUGAAAUAAUUUAAACAA